rnacentral:rRNA from 1 species
UACGGAGGGGGCUAGCGUUGUUCGGAAUUACUGGGCGUAAAGCGCGUGUAGGCGGCCCUGCAAGUCGGAUGUGAAAUCCCACGGCUCAACCGUGGAAGUGCAUUCGAAACUGCAGGGCUAGAGUCCUGGAGAGGAAGGUGGAAUGCUUGGUGUAGAGGUGAAAUUCGUAGAUAUCAAGCGGAACACCGGUGGCGAAGGCGGCCUUCUGGACACAUAUUGACGCUGAGGUGCGAAAGCGUGGGGAGCAAACAGG